rnacentral:rRNA from 1 species
CCGCAAGGCUAAAACCCAAAGGAAUUGACGGGGGCUUACACAAGCGGUGGAGCAUGUGGUUUAAUUCGAAACAACGCGCAAAACCUUACCAAUCCUUGACAUAUGAAAAACCAGGGUGUUUACCCGCUCUGUCUCUUUUAUACAGGUGCUGCAUGGCUGUCGUCAGUUCGUGGUGUGUGCUGUUGGGUUAAGUCCCAGAACGAACGCAACCCUCCUUUGAAAUGAAGGUUUACCUUUUUCAGAGACUGCCAAGGAUAUCUUGGAGGAAGGUGAGGAUGACGUCAAGUCCGCAUGGCCCUUAUGGGUUGGGCUACACACGUGCUACAAUGGGAAUGACAAAAGGAGGCAACAUGGCAACAUUGAGCAAAUCCCAAAAAGUUUCCUUAGUUCGGAUUGUUCUCUGCAACUCGAGAACAUGAAGUUGGAAUCGCUAGUAAUCGUAGAUCAGCACGCUACGGUGAAUUUGUAUCUAAGCCUUGUACACACCGCCCGUCACACUCUGAAAAUUUUCAUGCCUAGAAGCAAAAGAAGUUCACCAAGAACACACAGCGCAAUUAAAAAAAAACAUCUUCCCUUUUUUUUCUGUGUCUUUGUUGGAACCUUUUCUAGAGUUAGGGAGGUCAUUGGAGUG